rnacentral:rRNA from 1 species
AGUGAACGCUGGCGGUAGGCCUAACACAUGCAAGUCGAACGGCAGCACAGGAGAGCUUGCUCUCUGGGUGGCGAGUGGCGGACGGGUGAGGAAUACAUCGGAAUCUACUUUUUCGUGGGGGAUAACGUAGGGAAACUUACGCUAAUACCGCAUACGACCUACGGGUGAAAGCAGGGGACCUUCGGGCCUUGCGCGAUUGAAUGAGCCGAUGUCGGAUUAGCUAGUUGGCGGGGUAAAGGCCCACCAAGGCGAAGAUCCGUAGCUGGUCUGAGAGGAUGAUCAGCCACACUGGAACUGAGACACGGUCCAGACUCCUACGGGAGGCAGCAGUGGGGAAUUUUGGACAAUGGACGCAAGUCUGAUCCAGCAAUGCCGCGUGCAGGACGAAGGCCUUCGGGUUGUAAACUGCUUUUGUACGGAACGAAACGGUGAGCUCUAAUACAGUUUGCUAAUGACGGUACCGUAAGAAUAAGCACCGGCUAACUACGUGCCAGCCGCCGCCGUAA